rnacentral:lncRNA from 1 species
GAAGAGCUUUCAGAGCUCUAGGGGGGCCGGGAGUUGCUCCUUCCAUAUUCCCAGAAGUCAACGCCCUGGAGGGGAAGCGCAGGGUGCGGGUGGCCUGGGGAGCGACAUCCGGGUGGGCCUGGGAUCGGCCACCUGCUGGGCACGUGCAGGGGCGGGGGUCCCUCGGUCGCAGCUGACGACCCUUGCCUUCCUCAGCGCCGGCCUCGAGCUACAACCUGGACGUGCGGGGCGCGCGGAGCUUCUCCCCACCGCGCGCCGGGAGGCACUUUGGAUACCGCGUCCUGCAGGUCGGAAACGGGGUCAUCGUGGGAGCUCCAGGGGAGGGGAACAGCACAGGAAGCCUCUAUCAGUGCCAGUCGGGCACAGGACACUGCCUGCCAGUCACCCUGAGAGGUUCCAACUAUACCUCCAAGUACUUGGGAAUGACCUUGGCAACAGACCCCACAGAUGGAAGCAUUUUGGCCUGUGACCCUGGGCUGUCUCGAACGUGUGACCAGAACACCUAUCUGAGUGGCCUGUGUUACCUCUUCCGCCAGAAUCUGCAG